UGAGAGGACCUUUCCCUAGUACGAGAGGACCGGGAAGGACGCACCUCUGGUGUACCAGUUAUCGUGCCCACAGUAAACGCUGGGUCUACGAACCUGAUGGAGAUCCAAAUGGCACACAAAAGCAUUAUUGCUCAAAAUACAAGGACUGCUCAUGGAGACUGAUAAUAACGGAUUAAUAUCUCGAACCCAUUUGAGAACCUUAAAGGAGAGUGAAGUAAAGGAGAAGAAACCCUCCUCAUGACGA
rnacentral:ncRNA from 1 species